rnacentral:lncRNA from 1 species
AGAGGGUUCCUUUAGAUAAGGAACCUGUUUGGUAACAUCUGUAGGAAGAUGUCACUGGACAGAAGGGGCAACUGAUAGAGGCCAGACCCCCUGGUGUGUAACAGGCACAUUCUAUGGGCAGACUUGAAAGGUGGCCACUGGACCCAGUGACUUGAAGUCUCUUCACUGUGGGAGCGACUCCAGGCUGUUGCAGAUGGAUGCUGCUGGUGGCCCUGCUGAACAGAGGACCAGUUCCCACUCUGCUUGUCGGAAGACCCAUAGCCCUUCCAGGACCCCUGCUCAUUCUGAGCUGCCUCCUUCUCACACUUCUCAUUGUUACCCCCUUUCUAUUUUCUCUGCUUGAACAAACGUGUGUUGUGUGCUAAUUGUGUGCACUGAGCCAAGUGAUCCAUGAAUUGAAUAUGGGCUCUGUUUCAUAUUUCAUGAUUCUUACCAGCCUUACCACCGGGCCCUGCAACAAACAUUGAACUUAACUACAAAUAGUCCUCAGUGUUAGUCAGUGGGGCUGAUCUGGGGUAAAAUGAUAGAGUGAAAGCUGUUUCUCUUUUUGUCCAGCUUUGGGGCAAUGGGAAACGGAUUACGCUUGGAGCCUGGAUCAAGGGUUGAGUCUGUAUUCUGCCACUUAAAGCUGUGCGACUUAGGAAACAUCACUUUAACUCUCUGCUUGUCGUUUGGUUCAUCCUAAAAUGAGAAUUAUAGUGCCCAUCUCAUAGGAUUGUUUUGAAGAUUGAGAUAAUGUAUAAGAAGUUUAUUUAUAUGUUAAAAAGAUUGUAAAAACUCAAGUUAUUUGUAUCUAGUUGGAAAAUAGAAGCCUUGAUAUAUAUAACAAAUUAGUGCCAAUUGCUGCAAUUUGUUUUUUGAAACCAGGAAAUGCAGGGAUAUAACCGAAAUAGUACACUCUUGAACAUGUUAGCUAGCAAACCCAUAUAACAUUUAAUAGGAAACUAAAUGUUAAUUUAUUUCUAUUUAAAUUUUAUUAUUCCUAGGGGCUUUAUUUCAAGUUGGUGCAUCUACUUUUAAUCUUCUUACAAUUAUCUAGGAGAAUAAAUUAAACCUUCCUUCCACUGGGGGUAUUUAAAUGAACUGUUCCAUUUACAAAAGCGCUUGUACAAAAUAUGGUACUGCUUUGAUCUGAGGAAAGUGAUAGUGAAAUGAAUUUCACCUGUUUGUUUUAUAAAGUCAUUCUUCAUGAUACUUCUUUCAUUCAAAACGAGGCAUUAGCCUUUUCAUGAAGGUGGUGCUGAAGGUGAAGAAGGAAGCCCCUGCCACCUCAAAGCUGAAGCCAAAGCAAAGGCUUUGAAGGUCAAGAAAGCAGUGUUGAAAGGCAUCCACAGCCACACAGCAAAAGAAGAUCCAGACGUCACCCACCUUCCGAUGGCCUAAAAUAUCCAGGAGCCAGCCCAAAUAUCCUUGGAAGAGCACCCCUAGGAGAAACCAGCUUGACCACCACACCAUUAUCAAAUUCCCCCUCACCACUGAGUCAGCCACGAAGAAGAUAGAAGACAACAGCACACUUGUGUUCAUUGUGGAUGUCAAGGUCAACAAGUACCAGAUUAAAGAGGCUGUGAAGAAGCUCUAUGACAUUGAUGUGGCUGAAGUCAACACUCUGAUCAGGCCUAAUGGAGAGAAGAGGGCAUAUGUUCAACUGGCUCUUGACUAUGAUGCUUUGGAUGUUGCUAACAAAAUUGGCAUCACUGAGUCCAGCUGGCUAAUUCUAAAUGUAAAAGUCUUCACUUAAAAAAAAAAAGGCACUAGGACAUCAUUGUCAGAGUAUGGUUUAGAUCUCCAUUACCUGGCUUGAAAUCCAGCUUUGGCAUUUACUAGUUAUGUCAUUUUGGACAGGUCGCUUUUUCUAUUUCUAACCUCUUCCUUAAUAAAGUUGAGAUAACAAUAGUCCAUGCUAUUUUUUAUAGCUUGUUUUAAAAAUUAAAUGUGUCAGUGCAUGUGAAGGAUUUAACACCAUUCUUGGCAUAUUGUAAGGGCUCACUGAAUGUUAGGUAUUAUUACUUAUUUUUUUUUCUGAAGAUCUUUUUUUUUUUUUUUUUUUUUCAUUUCUUGGGCCAUUGCUGCAGCAUAUGGAGGUUCCCAGAGCUGUAGCCGCUGGCCUAUGCCAGAGCCACAGCAACGCGGGAUCCGAGCCGCGUCUUUGACCUUCACCACAGCUCAUGGCAAUGCUGGAUCCUUAACCCACUGAGCAAGGCCAGGGAUCGAACCUGAAACCUCAUGGUUCCUAGUCGGAUUCGUUAACCACAAUAGGAACUCCAGGUAUUAUUACUUAUUGCCAACAAUAUGCUUAGCCUGGCACUAAGGAUCUGAGACAUGAUCCAUGUGUGAAGAGAGCAAAACGAGCAGAUCUGGAAUUUUAAGAGUAUUCUACUCUGAGUGAUAUGGGAAGAAAAAGCUGGAGAUACAUAGAGGCAAAAUGGAGAAAUGCUUAAGGAAUGAAACCAUUGAUUAAUUUUUAGAAAAAACCUUCUCAGUGAGACUUCAAGGCCUGUGGUAUGCUUUGCAUUUCCUUUUAUGGCAAAAGAGGUCAAAGCUGCACAAAUGAUGAGUGAUGAAGCCUGGUUUGACCUCAAAAAUCUGUCUUCCACUGUGGAAGUCCAUUGCCAGCCUUCUCUAUGGAAAUAUCUGGCAUCCCAAUGGCAUAGCAGGCAAUAAAACAUGGCAUCCAUGCUACAUAAAUUGGUCAGUGCUAAUAGCUGUGUUAUGUUACUGUCAUGCGUGAUACAUUUUGAACCUGAACCUGGAAAUUAGCUCACUUGACACGUGAUACUGAGGUAUACCCAUGAGUGCUGGUGCUCAUGUGUCCUGGCUACCUCCAAUGUAAGCUCCCAGGUCUAAAAUGAGACAAAUAUGGUGAAUGUGCAGUUCUUGGCCCUUGUGGAUCCCAGGCCAGCAUCUUUUGCUCCAUGCAGACUGCUGAAAACAGUAAAACUCAGGUGCACCUUCUUGGGGAACAAGGGAAUUACAUCCAUACAUAGUAUCAUAAGUUCUCGAUCUCGUAUGUACUGUUGCAUUAUUUGUUUGCUUGUUCAGUGAUAAAACUGAAUCAAAGGACUGAUGCUCAAGUUUAGUCAUUGUUCCCAACAGUCCUUGUACACUGAACCAUCUUUGGACUGGCCUGUUCCUACUUUAGUGCCUAGUACUGCACUGGUACUGAACUCACACCUCCCCAAGACUUCAUGAUGGCGGGAAGUGCACUACUGCAGAUAGUGAUUUCCACCACUGCCAAAGAAUCCAGAAGGACUGCCUCACUGUGGGAAAGUGGAAUUGACUGUACAAGAAAUGUGACACUCUCUACAGUUGACUUUUUCUUUGGAUUUGCUCUGUGGAUCAGUCUUAAUGAUCUAAGAAUGCUACCCUUAAACUUGCAUACACAUAUGAAGAGAACUGACAUUUUGGUUGCUUUAUUUCUUAGCAUAGCUGAGACCAACUAAAAUUUUCUAAAAACAUUAAUACUUACAAAUUAAGGUAGGUCAGCUUUCAAUUAUGGCAGGAUGAAAACUGUAGUGAUUCCUAUCUGCCAAAACAAGUACAAAACAGAAAAUUUUGUCCAAAAUACCCAUUUAUGGGGCACUAGAAAUUGAUCAAAAGCAGACAAAAAAUUGGGAAGGGUUUAUCCUUGAUAAUGAGAGAAUUUCACAUACGAAGAACAGGCUUUUGUGGCCCUCUUGUGUGAGGUUCUUCCUAUAACUCUAGGGUUGCUAGAUAAGAUACGGAAUGUCCAGUUAAAUUUGAACUUUGGAUAAACAACAAAUAACUAUUUUAGUAUAAGUAUGUCUAAGAUAUUGCAUGGAUUAUGCCUAUGCUAAAAUUACUCAAUAUUUGAUUUCCCAUUGUGGCUCAGUGGUAAUGAACCCAAUCAGUAUCCAUGAGGACUUAGGUUUGAUCCCUGGCCUCGCUCAGUGGGUUAAGGAUCCCAAGUUGCCAUAAACUAUGGUGUAGGUUGCAGGCUUGUCUUGGAUCCCUCAUUGCUAUGGCUGUGGUAUAGGCUGGCAGCUGCAGCUCAGUUCGACCCCUAGCCUUGGGAACUUCCAUAUGCUGCAGGUGCUGCCCUAAAAAGACAACAACAACAAAAAUACUCAGUAUUUAUUUAAAUUUCAAAUUUAAUUGGACAUUCUGUAUUAUUAUUAUUACUAUUGCUAAAUCAGACCAUCUCCCAUGUCUGUCCAGCCCCCGCCCCUUAUUCACCUCAACAGCUGAUGCAGCAAGAAUGUGGGACUGGAUGGGAAUAUCGGUAGCUUCGCUGCCAGUUGGGGUAGAUUUGAUUUGGGGCAGAAGAUGAGGGUUGAAACCUGUGGCUUUAUCAGCUUGAUUGAGAACAGGAAAAACCAUUCGCUUUGUUGAGCUGAGGUUGCAAUUCUUAUUGGGGUGAGUGUUGACCAUUCAGAAACUUAAUGGAGAGAUCCUGGAAGUGAGAUCGCUCUUCAGACCUCCCUGGCUGAAUUGAAAACUAAACAGAUGCAGGGAAGAGACUUGAGAGAGCCGAGUGGAAAAUAAAUCCCAAGGAAGAAUUAACUGACUGCAAAUUUGAAUACCUUCCCAGGCUACUUACAUCGAUCAACAGAGGGUGGAAGGUUUAUGGUAUUAAGAUAUUUGUGUAUAACUCAAACUCAAAACUUUGACUGGGAGUUCCCAUUGUGGUGCAGUGGAAACAAAUCCAACUAGGAACGGUGAGGUUUUGGGUUCGAUCCCUGGCCUUGCUCAGUGGGUUAAGGAUUUGGUGUUGCCAUGAGCUCUAGUGUAGGUCACAGACAGAGCUCGGAUCCUGCAUUGCUCUGGCUAUGGCAUAGGCUAGCAGCUGUAGCUCCGAUUCUAUCCCUGGCCUGGGAAUCUCCCUAUGCAGAAGGUAUGGCCCUAAAAAGCAAAAACAAAACAAAAAACAAAAAAACAUUGACUGACCUGCUAAGCUAUGUAGACACAGGUGAGACCAUUAAGAAACCAGGUUAAAAAAUUAAAAUUAAAAUUAAAAAAUCUGUCCAGAGACAUCAGUGACUGUACACCACAGGAGAGACAGAUCUUAUAGUUUAAGUCCAGACAGGUUACAAAGAAAAGACAAAAAAAUGCAGAACAAUGAAACAGAGUUGUUACAGUGUAUUAUCUAAAACCUUCAGUUUUUAACCAAAAACUAUAAGACGUACAAGGAAACAGGAAAUUGCGAAAAAUUUUUAGAAAAAAGGCAGUUACUAGAAACUGGCUCUCACUGGGCCCAAAGUUCUGAAAACAGCUAUUAUAAAUAUGUUCAAAUAUUAAAAUAUGUUAUAAAAAACUGGCAAUGACAGCAAAUAAUACACUUUAAUAGAGAAAUGGAAGCCAUUAAAAAAAUAAAAUCAAGCAGUCUAGCAUUGAAAAUAAAAUAGCCAAAUGAAAAACUCAGUAGAUGGGCUCCAAAGCAUAUUCAAGAUGACAGAAAAAAGAAUAAUUAAUACUGAAGAUAGACAUUCUACAAUUCAAAGAAAGUAGAGAAGAAGUUAGAUGGAAGAACAGAGCCUCAGAGGUCUGUGGACAAUGUCAAAUGUCCCCACAUAUCUGUAAUGGAAGUCGUAGAAGGAGAGAAGAGAGAAGGAAAGAAAAAUACUUGAAGAAACAGUUGUCCAAAACUCAUCAAAUUUGAUAAAAACCUGUCAUUUACAGGUAGUUCAAUAAACUCAAGGGUAAACACAAAGAGAAAUAUGGAUGGUAACAUCAUAGUGUAACUGCUGAAAGACAAAAAGCAAGUUUUGAAAGCAGCCAGAGAAAAAUGACUCAUCAUUUACAGAAAAACAGCAAUGAGAAUAGGGGCUGAUUUAUCAGAAUACAAUGAAGUCUAGUAGGAAGUGGAAUGACAAGUUAAAAUGCAAAAGGAAUAAAGUGUCAUUCAAAAAUUCUAUAUCCAACAAAACUUUUUCAAAAAACGACAGUUUCCAUUGUGGAUCAGCAGGUAAGAACCCUACAUAGUGUCCAUGAGGAUGUGGGUUUGAUCCUUGACCUUGGUCAGUGGGUUAAGGAUCUGGCGUUGCCACAAGUUGCAGUUUAGGUCAUAACUGCAGCUCUGAUUCAACCCCCAGCUUGGGAAUUUCCAUAUGCCACAGGUGCAGCU